CUUCUACUCACCCAUCAAACACAAUCUGUCUUUGUUUUGCUUUGAUUUAAGGAAAGAAGUACCCCAAGGGCAGGUCCAGAGGAUGAAACACAGGUCAUGACACAGCUAGAACGGAUAGCCUGAGCAGAGAUUCAACAGCCAAACUAUCGAGUUGCCAGGAAACAAGAGGAGUCUCCAGGAUGUUAUUGGUGCUGGCCAUGAGACACUUGCGUAACUCUCCAGCUCAGUAAAAGAUUUGAGUGGAUGCUGUUUUCCUCAAACAAGUCUCAAACCAGCAGUAGAUAUUUUCUGAAAUGCUUUUGCUUGAAGAGAACCACGCUCUGGCCUCUGCCUUCUGUUUAAAUGUGAGAUCAUGAAGGAAGUC